GCAAAAUGAUUGAUUGAGUGUAUCAGUCAGGCUUCUGGACAGUUGUAGUUUUCAGCUUCAUCAUGUCUGGACUCCUGUUAUUUGUCAUCUUCGUGAUUUCCUCACCUGAGAUUCAAGGACAAGGUCAGAAACCAGAGAUGAGUGUUCACCAUUAUCAUGGGGAAUAUGUUUUCAUCCUUUGCUCUCUGCCUGGAUCUGUGAAAGACGAUACAAGAUGUAAUCUGUACUUUGGAGAAGCAGGUCGUCCAGUCUUAAAUCAAGCUGUCUUAAAGAAAAGCAGCACAAAAACCAGUCAGAGGUUCUGCCAGUUUGAUGUCUCAGUUGCUGAUUUUUUGAGACAUUUACAUUAUGUUCAACAAAAGGAUGCCAGCUGUGAUUACACUUUGGAAAAUGAACACAACUCUUUGUCACCUCGCAGUGA